rnacentral:rRNA from 1 species
UAGAGUUUGAUCAUGGCUCAGGAUGAACGCUAGCGACAGGCUUAACACAUGCAAGUCGAGGGGCAGCGGGGCAGGAAGCUUGCUUUCUGCCGCCGGCGACCGGCGCACGGGUGAGUAACACGUAUGCAACCUGGCCGUGACAGAUGGAUAACCGGGAGAAAUCCCGCCUAAUACAGCAUGACGCCGGGAAGGGACAUCCCUUUCCGGCCAAAGGGGGCGACUCCGGUCACGGAUGGGCAUGCGGCGCAUUAGGUAGUUGGUGGGGCAACGGCCCACCAAGCCGACGAUGCGUAGGGGUUCUGAGAGGAAGGUCCCCCACAUUGGAACUGAGACACGGUCCAAACUCCUACGGGAGGCAGCAGUGAGGAAUAUUGGUCAAUGGCCGGAAGGCUGAACCAGCCAAGUCGCGUGAGGGAAUAAGGCCCUACGGGUCGUAAACCUCUUUUGUCAGGGAGCAAGGCCGCCCACGUGUGGACGGAAGGAGAGUACCUGGAGAAAAAGCAUCGGCUAACUCCGUGCCAGCAGCCGCGGUAAUACGGAGGAUGCGAGCGUUAUCCGGAUUUAUUGGGUUUAAAGGGUGCGUAGGCGGCCUGCCAAGUCAGCGGUAAAAUUGCGGGGCUCAACCCCGUACAGCCGUUGAAACUGCCGGGCUCGAGUGGGCGAGAAGUAUGCGGAAUGCGUGGUGUAGCGGUGAAAUGCAUAGAUAUCACGCAGAACCCCGAUUGCGAAGGCAGCAUACCGGCGCCCUACUGACGCUGAGGCACGAAAGUGCGGGGAUCAAACAGGAUUAGAUACCCUGGUAGUCCGCACAGUAAACGAUGAAUGCUAGCUGUCCGGGGGGAUUGACCCCUGGGUGGCACAGCGAAAGCGUUAAGCAUUCCACCUGGGGAGUACGC